UACGUAAGGGGCAAGCGUUGUUCGGAAUCAUUGGGCGUAAAGGGCGUGUAGGCGGCAUGACAAGCUUGGUGUAAAAUGCUAUGGCUUAACCAUAGUUAAGCGCUGAGAACUGUCGAGCUAGAGUUUUGGAGGGGAAGCUGGAAUUCCUGGUGUAGGGGUGAAAUCUGUAGAUAUCAGGAAGAACACCAAUGGCGAAGGCAGGCUUCUGGCCAGAGACUGACGCUGAGGCGCGAAAGCGUGGGGAG
rnacentral:rRNA from 1 species